UACGAGAGGCCCAAACGUUAUUCGGAAUUACUGGGCUUAAAGAGUUCGUAGGCGGCGCAGAAAGUAGGGUGUGAAAGCCCUCGGCUUAACCGAGGAAUUGCGCCCUAAACUACUGUGCUUGAGGAACCUAGAGGUGAGCAGAACAGAUGGUUGAGCGGUGAAAUGCGUUGAUAUCAUCUGGAAUACCGGAGGCGAAGGCGGCUCACUGGGGGUUUUCUGACGCUGAGGAACGAAAGCCAGGGUAGCGAACGGG
rnacentral:rRNA from 1 species